CUUCAUAGUUUGGGCAUUGCAUGGGUUUGUCAUUGAAACUUUGCCAUACAUCAUAUAAGGGCUUACCGCUAAGUUGACAAAAAUUUAUGAUUUCAUUUCUUAGUUG
rfam:Capsicum annuum cultivar Zunla-1 chromosome 1, whole genome shotgun sequence